GAUUAGCUCAGUCGGUAGAGCACUCGGCUGUUAACCGAUAGGUCGUAGGUUCGAGUCCUAC
rnacentral:tRNA from 1 species